CCUGGGAGCCGCUCACUUUCCCUCGGGGGACCCACGCCACCACCGCGGCCGCCUCGGCCCUCUGGAGCCCAGGAGGAGGCGCGGCCCGACUCCGGGCGGAACGGGCAGCCUGGAGCGCAGAGGCCGGACCUGAGCGGGACGGUGGAGCGUGGCCUGACGCUGGAAACCGCAUCCUGGCCCAGGCUGCCAGCCCUGACCGGACAGAGCCAGGGCACUCACCAGGCUGCGGGAACAGCAAAGGGCAGGAACCCACUACCUGAGGGGCCAGGCCAGCCUCCCCAGGGCCUAGCUGAGGAAGACAGGGCAGAGGGCCAGGAGUCCCACACCUUGCCUGGACACCCCAGGCUCUGGAGCCAAGAGUGAACAGGGAUGUCAAGGCAGCCUGCAGAAGUGUGGGUGCUGAUGUGGGUGGGGGACCCCAGAGCCAGAGGGAGGACUGGGGCAUGACUGGGACUGGACUGGGCAAUGGGGUCAGUGUUUGGGGGUCCUGGGGUCAGCAUUAUUUUAUCAGUAGUGGGGUCACAGGGUUAGUAAAAGGGACAUUUUCAGUGGGGCUGGGGGUCACUAGAGCCAUUAUUGAGAACCGUCAGGGUCAGACGUGGAAGCAAUGGGAAGCAGCUCAGGUCAUACCAGAGGUGCAGAGGGUCAGCCUGGGGCCUGUGAGGGGGUGGUCAGUGAAGGGUCAGAGACAAUCUUGGAGAGGUUCCAAGGUCACAUGGUAUCAAUGAGUCAACGAGGGGUCUCAGGAUCAUAUUUCCGGAUGUGAGGGUGUCAGGGCCAAUCUUGGGGUUUCAGGGGGAUCCCAGGAUCAGUCAGGGACUUCCUGCCUGUCCCCUCUCCAGACUGCAGGUGAAAGGGAAUUCUGGAAGGGAAUUUUGCUCAGAUAGCACUGCCUGCUCCUCAGUGGCCACUUCCUGGUCUUGUGUAGGACCCCCUCCCGUUCCUGGCAGCUUCUGGGCCCACCCCCAUCUGCCUUUGCCCACUGAACCCCCCCCACUCUUUCCCCCUCCCUCUCCCUCCCAUUUGAGGGCUGUUGGGCUAAGCAGGUGGGAAGGUGGCACCUGGUCCUCCUCCCCAUUGGCUUCCUUCCUUCCCACAGGUGAGCACCCCCACCUCGGGGUCCAUGUGCCCGCCCCAGGCCCAGGCAGAGGUGGGCCCCACCAUGACUGAGAAGGCAGAGAUGCUGUGUGUCCCCAGCCCAGCACCUGCCCCACCCCCUAAACCUGCCUCACCUGGGCCCCCGCAGGCAGAGCGGAUGGGGCACGGAAGCUCCUCACCCCCCAGGCUGCCCCCUGGUGUUCCAGUGAUCAGCCUGGGCCACACCAGGCCCCCAGGAGCAGCCUUGCCCACCACAGAGCUGAGCACCCUACGGCCCCCCCUGCUGCAACUCUCUGCCCUAGGAACCACCCCACCUGCCUUGGCCCUACAUUACCACCCUCACCCCUUCCUCAACAGUGUCUACAUUGGGCCGGCAGGACCUUUCAGCAUCUUCCCUAGCAGCCGGCUGAAGCGGAGACCAAGCCACUGUGAGCUGGACCUGGCUGAAGGGCACCAGCCCCAGAAGGUGGCCCGGCGCGUGUUUACCAACAGCCGCGAACGCUGGCGGCAGCAGAACGUUAACGGCGCCUUUGCCGAGCUCAGGAAGCUGCUGCCAACGCACCCGCCCGACCGGAAGCUGAGCAAGAACGAGGUGCUCCGCCUCGCGAUGAAGUACAUCGGCUUCCUCGUGCGGCUGCUGCGCGACCAGGCGGCCGCACUGACCGCAGGCCCCACCCCGCCCGGGUCCCGCAAACGGCGGGCGCACAGAGUCCCAGACGACGGCAUCCGCCAGGGGUCAGGACACAGGGCCGAGGCGGCCGCGAGCUCUCAACCCGCGCCCCCGGCCGAUCCCGACUGCAGCCCGGGUGGGGCGGCCCGGCCCAUCAAGACGGAGCAAGCGGCUCUGAGUCCGGAGGUGCGGUGACCCCACGCGGCGGCGCCUCUGAGCCCGAGGGCACCGGGGACUCAGCCCGGGGCCGUCGAAGAAAGGGCCGACGAUGCGCUGCGCCUGCUGGGGAGCAAACGCGCCCGAAGAGGGACCAGUGAGGACGUCCCCGACGGGGCAAGGUUUCGAGGGUCUGAAAGGUGACCGUCGCCCCCAGGGGCCCCGCAGACCCUUUUUUAAGAACCAUGCACUGCCCGCUGGAAGUGGCCUUGCCAGUGUCCCCUUCCCAGAGGCGAGCCCUCCCACCGAAACCGAGAACGAACGACGAAACAAAUAAAAACCCCAGAUCAUCCUCGUCAACGCAGGAAAACGACUUAAAAAAAAAAAAAACUGAAAACGAACAAAAAAAAAAAAAAGGAAAAAACACUCAGCUUUCGUUAUCCCCGCGCAGGGCGGGUCAGGCCCGGUUCUUUUAGCGUCCCCAGAGCCGCGAGGACAUUACAACAAAAAUAGAAUUUUUUUUCUUAACAAUCUCUUAACAUACAAAGAUAGGAAAACUCUCUGAUGCAUUGCACUUGGUUCAAUGAAAAAAAAAAGUUCAUUUCCCCCAUAUAUAUUUUUGUGGGUUUUUUUUCUCUCCCAACACGUCCCCACAUCUCCUGUCGCCCUCAUUGCCCCUCACAACACCACUUGGGAAAGGAGCAGCCCCACCCCCCCUGCCCGCCCGGGCAACCCCGCCGGGCACGCUCCGGCCGGAGCCCAGCUGGCCUGCAGCUUCCGACUUCGCCCGGGCGGGCGGCCCGCAGACUCCGCUCCCGCAGGCCCACAGCGCCCGAGGCCCUGACUCUUCGAGGGAAGGGGCGCGUGCGGCCGGGCAGGGAGCCCUUUCCGCUUCGCUCUCAGCUCUGACCCUGUUUAGCCAACCGAACUGAAAAAUCAUUGCACUUUGACCGCGCGUCACGCCCGGCCCACCCGGCCCCCCAACCCCCGGGACCUUACCCCCCACGCCCCGGGAGGCCCUCGCGGGAUCCCCUGCCCCUCAGCCCUAGGAUCCUCCCACGGCUGCAGCUGAGAAGGGGGGAGGGCUUUGCUCAACUUCCAACAAAAGCCGCCGCCCCUGGGACAAGCCACCUCAUGGCUUCCAGCCGGGCAGGAGGCACCACCCGGCAGCCCCUGCAGCCCCAGGUCGUGGCCCUCCUCCCCUCCCCAGACGGCCUCCUCCCCUCCUCGCCUCCCUCCGCCUGCUCAGGGCCACAGCCUCACAAACUAGAUUCACAAUAAAUAAAGCCCGUAACCCAC